UUAAUUGAAUCCAAAAAGAGGAAUAUUACUGUUAAUAAUAUCAAUGAACCCUGUUCCAAUUAAG
rnacentral:tRNA from 1 species